ACGUAGGGGGCAAGCGUUGUCCGGAAUGACUGGGCGUAAAGGGCGUGUAGGCGGCCGAUUAAGUCUGGAGUGAAAGUCCUGCUUUCAAGGUGGGAAUUGCUUUGGAGACUGGUUGGCUUGAGUGCGGAAGAGGAAAGUGGAAUUCCCAGUGUAGCGGUUGAAUGCGUAGAGAUUGGGAGGAACACCAGUUGCGAAGGCGACUUACUGGUCCAUAUCUCACGCUGAUCCGCGAAAGCGUGUUGAACUAACAG
rnacentral:rRNA from 1 species